rnacentral:rRNA from 1 species
UACGUAGGGGGCAAGCGUUGUCCGGAUUUAUUGGGCGUAAAGAGCGUGUAGGCGGCUUGGCAAGUCCGCUGUGAAAACUCGAGGCUCAACCUCGAGAUGUCGGCGGAAACCACUUGGCUAGAGUCCGGAAGAGGAGAGUGGAAUUCCCGGUGUAGCGGUGAAAUGCGCAGAUAUCGGGAAGAACACCUAUGGCGAAGGCAGCUCUCUGGGACGGUACUGACGCUGAGACGCGAAAGCGUGGGGAGCGAACAGG